GAUGAACGCUAGCGACAGGCUUAACACAUGCAAGUCGCGGGGCAGCAUGGGGGUUGCUUGCAAUCCCCGAUGGCGACCGGCGCACGGGUGAGGAACGCGUAUCCAACCUGCCCUUCACCACGGGAUAACUCGGCGAAAGUCUGACUAAUACCGUAUGUUGUCUAUUGAGGGCAGCCGAGUUGGACGGACUGUGGGUCGGUGAAGGACGGGGAUGCGUCCGAUUGGGUGGACGGCGUGGUGACGGGCCACCGGGGCGACGAUCGGUAGGGGUGCUGAGGGGAAGGUCCCCCGCACGGGAACUGAGACACGGUCCAGGCUCCUACGGGAGGCAGCAGUGCGGAAUAUUGGUCAAUGAACGUAAGCCUGAACCAGCCAAGUAGCGUGCAGGAUGACGGGCCUAUGGGUUGUAAACUGCUUUUAUGCGGGGAUAAAGUGGCCCACGUGUGGGUUUUUGCAGGUACCGCGUGAAUAAGGACCGGCUAAUUCCGUG
rnacentral:rRNA from 1 species